ACGCCGGAAGACCAAGGGUUCCUGUCCAACGUUAAUCGGGGCAGGGUGAGUCGACCCCUAAGGCGAGGCCGAAAGGCGUAGUCGAUGGGAAACAGGUUAAUAUUCCUGUACUUGGUGUUACUGCGAAGGGGGGACGGAGAAGGCUAUGUUGGCCGGGCGACGGUUGUCCCGGUUUAAGCGUGUAGGUUUGCAGACCAGGUAAAUCCGGUUUGCUUCAAGACUGAGACGUGAUGACGAGGCACUACGGUGCUGAAGUGACAAAUGCCCUGCUUCCAGGAAAAGCCUCUAAGCUAUAGGUAACAUCGAAUCGUACCCCAAACCGACACAGGUGGUCAGGUAGAGAAUACCAAGGCGCUUGAGAGAACUCGGGUGAAGGAACUAGGCAAAAUGGUGCCGUAACUUCGGGAGAAGGCACGCUGAUAUGUAGGUGAAGUGAUUUACUCAUGGAGCUGAAAUCAGUCGAAGAUACCAGCUGGCUGCAACUGUUUAUUAAAAACACAGCACUGUGCAAACACGAAAGUGGACGUAUACGGUGUGACGCCUGCCCGGUGCCGGAAGGUUAAUUGAUGGGGUUAGCUGUAAGGCGAAGCUCUUGAUCGAAGCCCCGGUAAACGGCGGCCGUAACUAUAACGGUCCUAAGGUAGCGAAAUUCCUUGUCGGGUAAGUUCCGACCUGCACGAAUGGCGUAAUGAUGGCCAGGCUGUCUCCACCCGAGACUCAGUGAAAUUGAACUCGCUGUGAAGAUGCAGUGUACCCGCGGCAAGACGGAAAGACCCCGUGAACCUUUACUAUAGCUUGACACUGAACAUUGAGCCUUGAUGUGUAGGAUAGGUGGGAGGCUUUGAAGUGUGGACGCCAGUCUGCAUGGAGCCAACCUUGAAAUACCACCCUUUAAUGUUUGAUGUUCUAACGUAGACCCGUGAUCCGGGUUGCGGACAGUGUCUGGUGGGUAGUUUGACUGGGGCGGUCUCCUCCCAAAGAGUAACGGAGGAGCACGAAGGUUAGCUAAUCCUGGUCGGACAUCAGGAGGUUAGUGCAAUGGCAUAAGCUAGCUUGACUGCGAGCGUGACGGCGCGAGCAGGUGCGAAAGCAGGUCAUAGUGAUCCGGUGGUUCUGAAUGGAAGGGCCAUCGCUCAACGGAUAAAAGGUACUCCGGGGAUAACAGGCUGAUACCGCCCAAGAGUUCAUAUCGACGGCGGUGUUUGGCACCUCGAUGUCGGCUCAUCACAUCCUGGGGCUGAAGUAGGUCCCAAGGGUAUGGCUGUUCGCCAUUUAAAGUGGUACGCGAGCUGGGUUUAGAACGUCGUGAGACAGUUCGGUCCCUAUCUGCCGUGGGCGCUGGAGAAUUGAGGGGGGCUGCUCCUAGUACGAGAGGACCGGAGUGGACGCAUCACUGGUGUUCGGGUUGUCAUGCCAAUGGCAUUGCCCGGUAGCUACAUGCGGAAGAGAUAAGUGCUGAAAGCAUCUAAGCACGAAACUUGCCCCGAGAUGAGUUCUCCCUGAGACUUUAAGUCUCCUGAAGGAACGUUGAAGACGACGACGUUGAUAGGCUGGGUGUGUAAGU
rnacentral:rRNA from 1 species